GGAACUCUGAUGCUUGAUGCCGCGUGAGUGAAGAAGCCUUUGGGUUGUAAAGCUCUUUUGUAGGGGAAGAUAAUGACUGUACCCUAAGAAUAAGGUCCGGCUAACUUCGUGCCAGCAGCCGCGGUAAUACGAAGGGACCUAGCGUAGUUCGGAAUUACUGGGCGUAAAGCGCGCGUAGGCCGUUGAGUUAGUUAAUUGUGAAAUCCCAAAGCUUAACUUUGGAACUGCAAUUAAAACUGCUCGACUAGAGUUUGAUAGAGGAAAGCGGAAUACAUAGUGUAGAGGUGAAAUUCGUAGAUAUUAUGUAGAACACCAGUUGCGAAGGCGGCUUUCUGGGUCAACACUGACGCUGAGGCGCGAAAGUAUGGGUAGCAAAGAGGAUUAGAUACCCUCGUAGUCCAUACCAUAAACGAUGAUUGCUAGAUGUUGGAAAUUUAUUUUCAGUAUCGCAGCUAACGCAUUAAGCAAUCCGCCUGGGGAGUACGAGCGCAAGCUUAAAACAUAAAGGAAUUGACGGGGACCCGCACAAGCGGUGGAGCGUGUNGUUUAAUUCGAUGCAAAGCGAAGAACCUUACCCAGACUUGACAUCCUGCUAAUUCUUCCGAAAGGAAGAGUGUCUUCGGACCGCAGUGACAGGUGUUGCCUGGCCGUCGUCAGCUCGUGUCGUGAGA
rnacentral:rRNA from 1 species